AAAAGGGAUUGAAACUGCAAUCGAACAGGUCUUUGGGUAUGCAGGCUAUGGUCAAGGAGCAAAUAUUCAACCUCCUCAAAAUUGGAUUAUGUGACAAAUAAUUUGGCCGAGUGUUUCAACAACUGGAGCCGCAAGCACAAAGGUCUCAUGUUGUUUCAGCUCAUGGACAAGAUCAGGAGAAAGAUUACUGUCAAGUUUGAGAAAAGGAGAAGGGUAGCUAGAAAAUUUCAAGGUUGGCGUAUACUUCCAAGUGUCAUGAAGGAGUUGAAUGACAUAAGCAGGGGGCUGGACAUUGAAUAUGAGAGAAUAGAUGACAUGAUUGCAGAGGUGAGUGAGAGUGUUGCACUAGGUGACAAGCGCCACGUCACUGAUCUAGCAAAUAGGACAUGCACAUGUAGGGCAUUUCAAGUCUCUGGGAAGCCUUGCAAACAUGCAAUUAGCUUUAUUACUGGAAUUAGGGGGGUCACAAUAGAAGACUUCGUUGAUGAUUAUUACAACGUUGCCAAGUUCGCUGCAGCUUAUGCUCCUAUUCUUCCUGGCCUAACUGACAUGUCUCAAUGGCCUAGUAUGAACAAAGAAUUCUUCUUGAAUCCCCCAAUCCUUAGGAGGGCUCCUGGGAGGCCAAAGGUGCAGAGGCACAAAAGUGGUGCUGAGAAUAGCAAGGGAAGGGAAAGAAAGGCCAGCACCAGUGUCCAAUUUGCAAAGCUUAUGGACAUAGAUGGCAAAGCUGCAAAGAUGCUGCUCCUGAAGCACUAG
rnacentral:rRNA from 1 species